UCAAGACCAAAAUGUAGACUAUUAUAAGAUAAAACAUACAUUACAUAUAUAAAACUUGGUUAUAAAUAUGUUUUACAUACCUUUAAAGAACCAAAAUGUAGUUUCAUGUAGAAAAUAAUUGUUUUCCUUAAGUUAAUUCGCCGAUAUACACCGAUUAGUUGACCGAGUAUUUGCCAGACGUUUGAUCAAUGAUUAUAGCUUAAUUCGCGUUUCAGAAACCCAAAAUGGCGGUUAACAUACGAUUCCAGAGUCAAAUUUGACAGUUAUGUCAACUGACAGUAUGAUUAAAUUAAGUAGUUAACCAUGCUUUUAGCAACUCAUUUCAUGCUUAACAAGAGAUUUGACAGAUGAUUUGUUAAUUUCUGCAUUGAUCAGCCUUUCGGAAACCGGGCGUUAAUGUAUAAAAUAU